CAGGCCUAACACAUGCAAGUCGAGCGCAGGAAGCUCACGGAACUCUUCGGAGGGAAGUGAAGGGAAUGAGCGGCGGACGGGUGAGUAACACGUAAGGAACCUGCCCCAAGGAUUGGGAUAACUCCGAGAAAUCGGAGCUAAUACCGAAUAGUUCUUCAGACCGCAUGGUCUGAUGAUGAAAGGCGCUUCGGCGUCACCUUGGGAUGGCCUUGCGGUGCAUUAGCUAGUUGGUGGGGUAAUGGCCCACCAAGGCGACGAUGCAUAGCCGACCUGAGAGGGUGAUCGGCCACACUGGGACUGAGACACGGCCCAGACUCCUACGGGAGGCAGCAGUAGGGAAUCUUCCACAAUGGACGAAAGUCUGAUGGAGCAACGCCGCGUGAGUGAUGAAGGUUUUCGGAUCGUAAAACUCUGUUGUAAGGGAAGAACAGGUAUGAGAGGUAAUGCUCAUGCUAUGACGGUACCUUGCGAGAAAGCCACGGCUAAACUACGUGCCAGCAGCCGCGGUAAUACGUAGGUGGCAAGCCGUUGUCCGGGAAUUAUUGGGGCGUAAAGCGCGCGCAGGCGGCCUUUUUAAGUCUGAUGUGAAAGCCCCCGGCUCAACCGGGGAGGGUCAUUGGAAACUGGAAGGCUUGAGUACAGAAGAGAAGAGUG
rnacentral:rRNA from 1 species